rnacentral:rRNA from 1 species
GAUGAACGCUGGCGGCGUGCCUAAUACAUGCAAGUCGAGCGAACGUCAUAGAAGCUUGCUUCUAUGACGUUAGCGGCGGACGGGUGAGUAACACGUGGGCAACCUGCCUGUAAGACUGGGAUAACUUCGGGAAACCGAAGCUAAUACCGGAUAGGAUCUUCUCCUUCAUGGGAGAUGAUUGAAAGAUGGUUUCGGCUAUCACUUACAGAUGGGCCCGCGGUGCAUUAGCUAGUUGGUGAGGUAACGGCCCACCAAGGCAACGAUGCAUAGCCGACCUGUGAGGGUGAUCGGCCACACUGGGACUGAGACACGGCCCAGACUCCUACGGGAGGCAGCAGUAGGGAAUCGUCCGCAAUGGACGAAAGUCUGACGGAGCAACGCCGCGUGAGUGAUGAAGGCUUUCGGGUCGUAAAACUCUGUUGUUAGGGAAGAACAAGUACGAGAGUAACUGCUCGUACCUUGACGGUACCUAACCAGAAAGCCACGGCUAACUACGUGCCAGCAGCCGCGGUAA